rnacentral:rRNA from 1 species
AUUGAACGCUGGCGGCAGGCCUAACACAUGCAAGUCGAGCGGAUGAAGGGAGCUUGCUCCUGGAUUCAGCGGCGGACGGGUGAGUAAUGCCUAGGAAUCUGCCUGGUAGUGGGGGAUAACGUCCGGAAACGGGCGCUAAUACCGCAUACGUCCUGAGGGAGAAAGUGGGGGAUCUUCGGACCUCACGCUAUCAGAUGAGCCUAGGUCGGAUUAGCUAGUUGGUGGGGUAAAGGCCUACCAAGGCGACGAUCCGUAACCGGUCUGAGAGGAUGAUCAGUCACACUGGAACUGAGACACGGUCCAGACCCCUACGGGAGGCAGCAGUGGGGAAUAUUGGACAAUGGGCGAAAGCCUGAUCCAGCCAUGCCGCGUGUGUGAAGAAGGUCUUCGGAUUGUAAAGCACUUUAAGUUGGGAGGAAGGGCAGUAAGUUAAUACCUUGCUGUUUUGACGUUACCAACAGAAUAAGCACCGGCUAACUUCGUG